rnacentral:misc_RNA from 1 species
AACGCACAUUGCGCCCGCGAGUAUUCUCGCGGGCAUGCCUGUCCGAGCGUCAUUUCAACCCUCAGAGCUCGCCUGCUUGUCAGGCGCGGCGCUGGUGUUGGGGAUCGGCCUAACCGCCGUCCCCCAAAUACAGUGGCGGUCUCGCUGCAGCCUCCCCUGCGUAGUAGCAACACUCGCAUGCGGAGCGCGGCGCGGCCACGCCGUAAAACCCCCGACUUUCUGAACGUUGACCUCGGAUCAGGUAGGAAUACCCGCUGAACUUAA